rnacentral:rRNA from 1 species
UACGUAGGGGCAAGCGUUGUCCGGAAUCAUUGGGCGUAAAGCGCGUGUAGGCGGUCCGGUAAGUCCGCUGUGAAAGUCCAGGGCUCAACCCUGGGAUGCCGGUGGAUACUGUCGGGCUAGAGUACGGAAGAGGCGAGUGAAUUCCCGGUGUAGCGGUGAAAUGCGCAGAUAUCGGAGGAACACCAAUGCGAGGCAGCUCGCUGGACGUACUGACGCUGAGACGCGAAGCGUGGGAGCAACAGG